UAGAAUAAGAUGAGGUGAGGAAUUUUCCUCCAUCAAAACCUCCUUAGAAAACCUCCAUGGAAAUCACCCAGACACACUUCCAGCAAAAUAUAUAGCACCACAAGCCACUGGCCCUAUCCCUGAAAAAACACCCAAACCACUGGCUUCCUCCACCGGAAACUCUCCAAGCACCAUCAAAAUUCACCCAAAACCCUGCACCUAUCAGGCUAUCACCAUCACCACCAUUCAGCAAUCCCGAACACCCUGCCUAGAACAACAGUACUAGUGCAGUCCAUGGAAGCAACCAAUUUUUGAGCCUUAGUUUGCUUUCCUUUUGAUGGUGGAUGAGAUUACAACCUUCAUCAAAGCUCUUGGAAACCUCACAACAAUCCCAAGAAGGUCACCAAGUCAAAAGCUCACGAAAGAUUUGAAAAUUGGUCGAACAUCAAGUUCUGACCAGCAGAUAAUGGAUCACAGCCAUGAAGUUUCACUUGAUAUCAACGAGUUAGCCAAUUCUUUGAGGGAGCGAUUGAAGAUCAAGAAGAAGGCUUUCUCCCAGGCAUGCUGCUGCAUCUACAGAGUCCCGGAACGAUUGCGGAAGUUAAAUGAAAAGGCAUAUACACCUCGAGCGGUCUCAAUAGGCCCAAUUCACCUCCUCUUAAGGAAUAUACAAUUUGAAAAUUAAUCUGCCAGAUGUUGAUAACUCAUAUCACAAAUUAAAUCUUCCAGAUGACACAAAUUUGGCUUGUUUAAGGUAAGUCUCCAAGUUCCUCUUAUUUUCAUGAUCCAUGUUUGAUCUGCUAUGGUUUGCUCUAAACAAUAAAACCUUUAUCAAAAUGGUUAUCGUACUCUUCGACCAUUCCAAUCUCUGAUGAUAUAUAAACGUUCACUCAGCAAAAUGCCAAAAUCAUCGAGUUUUGGAAGACUGCAGCCAUGCACAUCAAAAUUAAUGAAUUUAAUUGUUCGUGCUAUGGCAUUAUUACUAGCAAGUUCCCCGCACUUUAUA